UACGAAGGGGGCUAGCGUUGUUCGGAAUCACUGGGCGUAAAGCGCACGUAGGCGGAUCUUUAAGUCAGGGGUGAAAUCCCGAGGCUCAACCUCGGAACUGCCUUUGAUACUGGGGAUCUCGAGUCCGGGAGAGGUGAGUGGAACUGCGAGUGUAGAGGUGAAAUUCGUAGAUAUUCGCAAGAACACCAAUGGCGAAGGCAGCUCUCUGGGACGGUACUGACGCUGAGACGCGAAAGCGUGGGGAGCGAACGAGGAU
rnacentral:rRNA from 1 species